GGCUCGUUCGUCUAGUGGUUGAGGAUUCCGCUCUUUCAAGGCGGAGAGAGGGGUUCGAAUCCCCUACGAGCUG
rnacentral:tRNA from 1 species